UAUUACCCUGAUUACUCUUGGUCUACUCUAUGAUAUGCAUACUUGAAGUGACCCUGUGGGGAGUUUUAUUAUUGCAAACACACACACCAAGAUAACAUUUAUAAUAAAAAGAAACAAACAGAUUUGGUAUCUUUGCUUAGUCAGAUAAAUGCAGAUUGAUAUGAACAAUACAGUGAACAACAAAGUUCACUGAUUUAGCACCCUCCCAUUAAAUUCUAAAGUUAUUAAAAAAAUAUAGGCUAUAUUAAAAUUUUUUUUUUUUUAUAUAAGAAUAAUGGGUUUUGUCAAUAGAUUGUAAAAAAAAAAAAGAAAAAAAAAAAGGUUUUGUCGCUCGUAUUAGGACUAUAGGAAUAGGCACAUCACUCGCGCCACCUACUGGCAUAAUGUAACAGUGAACGAAUCUAAACAAAUCUUUUGAUUCACUCCGAUGAAUCAAAUCAAUGUAUACUGAUUCUUCGCUACGCCAUCCAGAAGUAACCAUCAGCAGUAAAAGAGGAGAAACUGGCUUUGCUGUUCCACAAACAAAUCUAAAUUCAUAUACGUGUUCCCGUCGGAUUGCAGACCAGGACAAUGGAGCCAUGGCCUAAACACCCAGAAACAAGCCACAGCAGAUGUAAAGGAGGUCAUGAUUGGUCUCCAGAGCAACUUCUUUUGGAAGGAAAGAUCACAUCAGUUAACCACAGGUGGACUAUUUGCU